rnacentral:misc_RNA from 1 species
CUGAGUACUAUACUCUCCACCCUUUGUGAACUAUUAUACCUGUUGCUUCGGCGGCGCCCGCGAGGGUGCCCGCCGGUCUCAUCAGAAUCUCUGUUUUCGAACCCGACGAUACUUCUGAGUGUUCUUAGCGAACUGUCA